rnacentral:misc_RNA from 1 species
GAUGAAGAACGUAGCGAAGUGCGAUAAGUAAUGUGAAUUGCAGAAUUCCGUGAAUCAUCGAAUCUUUGAACGCAUAUUGCACUCUCUGGCAUUCCAGAGAGUAUGCCUGUUUGAGGGUCAGUUAAAUAAAAAUCGGGGUUGUUGCUGCUUUUUGUGGUGACACGUCGGAAUUGGGUCGUCUUUACCAUCGGUUAAGUGACCUAAAAUUUUAUGAUUUUUCGAACGUAUUUAAAUUUUUUAUGAACGUUUGCAAUAUUCGAAUAUUAGAUGUGGUCAUUCUCAUGAUUCGCGUCUAUAAUUUUUCAUCUAAUGACCUCAAAUCAGGUAAGAGUACCCGCUGAACUUAAGCAUAUCAAUAAGCGGAGGA